AUGUUAGCAAAACAGUGUUGGCGACUGCUGCAGAAUCCAGACUCUUUGUGUGCACGUGUUCUUAGUGCAAAAUAUUAUCCCGACGGAAACAUCUUGAAUGCGGGACCGAAGAAGGGUUCUUCUUACACUUGGCAGAGCAUUGUCUCGGGUAUCCAAACCUUUAAACGGGGUUGCAUAUGGCGUGUUGGCACGGGAUCAAAAAUCAACAUGUGGCAAGAUCCCUGGAUACCAUCAAGUGAAAUUCGAAAAGUAAUAACCCCAAGGGGUGAUACACUACUGGGAAAAGUUGAAGAAUUAAUUGAUCCACACACUGGACAGUGGGACGUUGACCUUAUUCAAUCAGUUUUUUCGCCUGUGGAUGUUCAUCGAAUCCUCCAAAUACCUCUUCGGGUGGAAGUGUUAGAGGAUUUUCUUGCAUGGAGUGGUACUCGAUCAGGGACGUUCUCUGUUCGGUCG
rnacentral:rRNA from 1 species